AGCAGCCGCGGUAAUUCCAGCUCCAAUAGCGUAUAUUAAAGUUGUUGCAGUUAAAAGCUCGUAGUUGAAUUUCGGGAUCAGUACGCUGGUCGUGCCUUUGGUAUGUACUGGUGUCACUGAUUCCUCCCUUCUGAAGAACCGUUAUGCCAUUUAUUUGGUGUGGCGGGAAAUCAGGACUGUUACUUUAGAAAAAUUAGAGUAGUUUAAAGCAGGCUCGCGCUUGAAUACAUUAGC
rnacentral:misc_RNA from 1 species